CAAACGGCCCUUUUAGGGCCACGCCAAUUUGAUUUAUUAAUUCUGU
rfam:Echinostoma caproni strain Egypt genome assembly, scaffold: ECPE_scaffold0004082